UGGUGGAGUGAUUUGUCUUGUUAAUUCAGUUAACGAACGAGACCUCGCCCUGCUAAAUAGUUCGGCGAACACUUCGGUGUUUGUAUACCGUGACUUCUUAGAGGGACUAUCGGUGUGUAGCCGAUGGAAGUUCGAGGCAAUAACA
rnacentral:rRNA from 1 species